CUGUCUGCUUUCCCUGUGCUGACACGUGACAGAGUCCCAGGGGCAUGGCUGCUGCUGUCGUAUCGUUUGGUCGUUUGCGAUGGUUCAUUAUAAUGACGUUCCUUACACUGUGGAGAAGUGGAAAAGUAUUGCACAAGAACUUGAAGACUGCUGGAAUUUCCCAAAUUGUGGAGGAGCCAUUGAUGGGAAGCACAUAUGCGCAUAACACCACCUUCUAAAGGGCCAGUCGGACAAUAUGGCAGCCGGACAACCCAGCGGUGGUGCGGAGGGUGACGGGGGGAGUGAAGUUUUUUCACUCCCUGACAUCACCCGGCCCCAAAGCCCUGCAUGCUAAUAUGGACGAGUUUGUCCAUAUUGGCUUGCAUGUAUAAACGAGCCGACACCAACGAUGAACGAGCGCGGGACCGCACAUCGUUCAUCGUUGGUGCCUACACACUGCACGAUAUGAACGAUAUCUCAUCCAUUAAUGAAUGAGAUCGUUCAUAUUGCUCAGUGUAAUCGGGAAGUGUGUAGGGCCCUUAACAGUAGAUCCUACUACUACCUUAUAAAUGCUUCUUUAGCACUGUACUGAUUGCUGUGGUCAAUGUGUCCUGGGAAUUUAUUUAUGUAGACAUCUGGAAGAAUGGCACAGCUUUAGAUGGUGGCUCCUUUCAAGAGACAACGUUCUACCAAAGACUGAUGUCCAGCACUGUGAAUGUGCCGUCUGUUGAAGAAACUAAGCAUGGACUGCCGUUUGUCUUUGUGGCUGAUGAGGCUUUGCUUUGCAUGAAAACUCUAUAAAGCCAUACCCGCAAAGGGCAUUUUACCAAACAGAGGCAGAUUUUUAAUUAUAGACUUUCAAGAGCUAAGCGGAAUGUGGGGAUCGCUUUUGGAAUUUUAAGUAAUAGAUUCUGCGUUUUUAAUACAGCCAUCACUCUGCCUGUGGAUGCGAUGGCUGGGUGGUAUUGCCAUGCUGUAUGCUGCAAAACUUUCUACACUCAGCCAAAAUGAAAAGCCCGCUGGCACUGUUAUGCCAGAUGACGUGGAGCAUGCAGAGGAGGGGGAUAGAUGGAAAACCACUUGCUGCAACCGGUGUGCAAACAUUCAGUGCACAUGCAAAACAGGCCCGGCAGGAAUAUAUUUCAGUGGUGUGGGGACAGUGCCGUGGUAAGAUGAUAGCUAAAUGUAAAAGUCUGCGAGAAAGAGAAGGUGCGGGAUUUCGUGUGAGUCUGGACAGAUUUUUAAAGCUGCAAUCAUUUACACGGCAUAACCAGGUUUGUUUUGCUGUAUACAUGAUUGCCGCUUUAAAAAUCCAACCAGACCUUCACUAAAUCCAACACUCCCUGCUUCUUGAAGGCUAUUACAUUUAGCCCGCCAUCCCCAUACUGCUACAUUUCCUAUCGCCUUCAUCGUCCCUUUCCACCAGGUCAAUGGAGUUUAAGAUGCCCUCUGUUCGCCUUGAUUUAUGCUGAAUUUGAGCAAGUUGUAGUAGCAUAAUGUUGGUACAUAGACUUCAUCUGAUCCCGCAUCGGAUCUUUUGGAUGCCAUACUUUUCUUGUGCUCCUUUAAGAGGACUGUGCAGAAACUUUGAAUUUUCUUCUUCGCCCAUUCCGUGUCAGCUUCGCUGUGGAAUGGCUUGCUGACGAAUACUAGGGCCUGUACAGCUGCGAUUCGUUUAACUUUGUUGGAAUUAUCCUUGGAGCGUAUCCUCCAAAGACAAUCGUUUUGCCGGUAGACUUCGGGGAAUUCCGUGACAAACUCUGCAUUCUUCUCCAAAGACAUGAUAUCUGUAAUAAAGGACACAAAAUGACUAUUAAAAAUUGGUACAUUACACUACCAUAGCAACUUGUUAUUGUUGAAAUUCAAAAAAAAUUUUUUAAUGUAGAUUUAAAUUAAAAAAAUGUAUUAUUGAAGUCUAAAAA